CUGCUCAAUGAUUUUUUAAAUUGCUGUGGUAUUUUGACUAUACAAAGGUAUUGAAAUAAGAUUUUAAUUGAAUGCUAAGAGAAUGGAAUUUCAGAAAAAAGCUUUUUUUAAAUUAAAAAUUGAAUUUUUCUUAAUUUGUGCAGAGACAAUUAUUAAUAUUAAGGACAAGAAGACCCUAUGAAUUUAUUAAAUUUAUUUAAUGAGAAUCUCCUAUUAAAUAAAUUUUGGCUGGGGCGGCAAGAAAAUAUCAAAAACUUUUCAGAUAA
rnacentral:rRNA from 1 species